CUCUAGCAAGACUGGUUGACGCGGGGAACCCGGCGCGCCUUUCCCGGGAAAACAAGAAGAGGCUGCUCCCGGGGCGCGGGAGAUGAGUCACUCCUCAGUUCAGCAAGGGACUGCCCUUCGGACCAGGUGAAGAAAAAGCUCAGCAUGACUGAGCUACUUGCUGGCUAGCAUCUAACUGCUGAGAGGCAAAGCUGGAACUCAAACCCAGGUGGGAAAACCAGGCUAGAUUUCCUAUGGGCUCCCCACAGGGACAACAAAUCACAGCUUUAACCGAGGGACAAAGCUGCUGACAGAAAAUAAGCGACUCUGGGCCACUGAGGAGUGAAUCACGCAGCAGGGGCUGAAAAUGACACUGAUGGCCAGUAAUAGCUUGUUUUUAUGGAAGGCUCCCUGGGUGCUAGGCACUGGCCUGAUUGGCUGAAAUUUAGCAUUCCUAGGGAGACAUCUGGGUAGAUGUAUGGUUCUAGAUCUCAGAAGCGAGGCCAGGGCCAGGAAUCAAAAUAGAUGUGAUGGAAUACUAUGCUGUCAUUAAAAGUGCCAUUCACAAGGAAUAAAUAGAGAUGGUAAUAAAUAGUAUGUACCAGAGAAGGUUCUGAGAAGGAAAAAUUCAUAUAGGGCUCGCUAAGAAAGAACUGGCACACAGACACCAGUUAAUAAAUAUUUGUUGCAUGAAUAAGUGAAGGGCAUGAGGAAAUACUUAUGGUCUCAACUAUGGGAACAAUGUUAAUAGUCACAAAAUAUUAAGUGCUUACCAUAUAAGGUACUCUGCAAAGUGCUUUGCAUGCUUUACCUAUUUUGCUCUUUAUUAAAACCCUAUUCAGUAGAUAUAUAUUCCUAGUUUAUACAUGGGGAAACCGGAUAAGGCUGAAACUAAGUAAUUCACCCAGCGUCAUAAUUGGUAGAGUCGCAGUUUGUAUCCAAGACUGUUUUCAUCCCGAUCUCACCUGACAUGAUUUGUUCCAGCAUUCUACCAGAUCAGUGGUUCUCAAAGUGACAUCCUUUCCCACUGGGGUGCAUUUGACAAUGUCUGGAGAUUUUGAGGACAAAACCAGGGGAUGCCUCUGUCCCCUCCUUGAGAAGGUCAGUGAUGUGUGACCUGGGGCCUACGCCUUCUGAGGUCAAGGCUAGGAUGCUCCAAGGUGCUAUCCUGAAGCACUGAGCCUGGAUGAAGGCAGCUGCUACCUGAUGAAUGAUGAGUAAGAACCUAUAAGACCUUAAGAAAUCACUGGCACUUACCUUCCUCCCUUCAGGCCUAGGAUUGAAGAUCCUUGAAUUUGCCUAGGCUGUCACUUGCAGUGUUGGAGGCAGGCAUACCCGAGUAGAGAACUUCUACUUUUCUGUGACUUUGGGCAGAACUUAACUUCUCCAAGCCUCAGUUACUUCAUCUGUAAAA